UGUUGUUUUUUGUAUCUUUGUUUUUGUGUCUGUGUGUUUUGUUGUUGUUUUGCUUCUUAAUGGUUAGGGAUACUCUAACUUCUAGGAUGCUCUGUUUUCUCCUCCAUAAUAUAAAUAAUGAUAGUACUUUCUUCUCAGGGUUGUUGUACACAUUGAGUCAUACAUAAACAAAUUGUUGGAGAGCUGCUAAACAUCAGUUUCCGCUAAAUAGUCACUGUAGGUAUAAAGAGGAAUAAGUGCUCACAGUCCCAUGGGACAGACAGACUCAUUAUCUGAUGAAUAAAAUGCCUUGUACAAAGUGGAACAAUAUAGAAUGCUUCAGGUAUGGGGCAGGGAAGAACUGAUAAAAGAGAUUGUCUCUGUAUAAGCUGGAUCUUGAAGAAAAUGUGGGAGUUAAUGGAAUGAAAAUAUCAUAGGAUAGUAUUUGGAAUUUAAUGCCAGAUGUUUAGUAAAGAAGCUUUUUUAUUCCCCUUUGACUAUCUUCUAACCCUGGCUUAAAAUUUAACUACUUCAGAAAGAUUUCCUAAGCUACUUGGCUUCCUCUGCACUUCCCUUUAGUUCUUUAUUCUCUUCAGCAUGCAUAUAUUAUUCAUUUUUGUCCAUAUUUUAUUUUUAAGUAGAAAGAAAACUUAUUUGGGAAAAUGAUUUUUAGUGUUCUUUUGGAGUCUGACAGUGUUCAAUACAUAGUAAACCCCUUAUAAAUCCUUAAAUUAAUUUUGUCACAUAAAUAGCAGUCUAAGUACAUUAAUGAAAAAGAUAUUUACAAUCUUUUUGAUAUUUAAUGAAUAUCCAAUUUUCCCUUACAUAGAUCAUAGAUCAAAACUAGGUGAUGGCAACAUGAAGAUCAUUGAGAAUAUGGAGAAUAUGGCAACAGCAGCCUUCACAGCAUGACUUUUCUGUCUGGGUGACUCCACUUCCUCCACCACCAUACAUCACAGGAGCCUGAGAACUCAAUGUGUACAUUGGAGACCAAAAGCAGAUUUGCUUGAUCCUUGAAAGAGGGAGAAGAGUUUUGUUUGUCUGAUCCCUUUGGCCACCCUCUGUUCUGUUUUGGAAACACUGAUUGUUGCAGAAUGUUCUCAAAACCACACUCACCUUCACCCCUGAGUUAUGCUUCACAAAAGAGACUGGUACAAAGCAACAUUUAAAAUGUUUUCACGUGAUCAGUGGUUUCAAUUUGGAAUCUGGGGCUGGUUUAUGGAAGAGAUGAGAAGGAAAUUUUUUCCUGUCCUGGGGAUUUUGUAUGUUUUUUCUGUCUCUUAGAUUUUUCCCUUUAAAAUGUGGUUGUGAAAAGCAGAUGUUUAGUAAAGCUGAAAGUCUUGGAAUAUUCAUCAAUGCAUCGCAACUCAAUACCUUAGGGUAGACACUGUCUGUAGUAGCAAAACAGAUCUUUUUUCUAUGUCUACCAUGAAAUGAUAGCCAUUGAAAUGAUGCAAAAUAUGACCUCUAUAUUUAGUCUGUAUUCAAAUCCAUUUAUUGUUUAAAGAAACCAUGCAAUGCCAAUUAAAAUAGUUUUUUUCUUUAACAAAUCAACUGCAUAUUUAUUUUGCUGACUAAAGAGAAUUAGAUAAAAACAUCAAAAAUUAAAUUUCUGCCCUAAGUAUCAUAAAAUGAAUACCAAGGUCCUCCUAAAAGCUUAAUGAGAUCUCAACCUGGCCUCUAAUAGCAGUGUCCGAUGUCUGACAUGUUGGCAAUGUAUAGUGAAAUGUUAUUAUGACUGUUAUUAUGGUGUAGUACCACAGAGAGCUAGAAGUGCCCAG
rnacentral:lncRNA from 1 species